rnacentral:lncRNA from 10 species
AGAGAGUAAGGCGCAUCAGGCAGAUACAAAGCAUUUUGCUGAGAUUACUGGCACUAUAUAAACCCUGCACUCCCAGGGAGCAGUAGAAAUCUUGAGAAUGGAUCCAUUAGAGUGUAAGGCAGACGUUAAAGAUGGAGAAACCAACUUCUAAUGACAGCUUGGAGCAUCUGGAUCUAGUCCCAGACUUUUUAGUUAUGAAUAACUGCAAGAAAAAAUCUACAUCCUGAAAGGGUUGAACCCAUCUUGAAAAUGGCAAAAUCUCCAUCCUGGUGAUCACUGGCACCAUCACUCCCAGUACAGCCAUCACUCUAUGGGAUCCUGGGCACUGCUUAGCACUAGGAAGGCGAAUGGCUUUAAAUUAUGAUUCCUGUCCUCAAGAGAUAAGUCACAUUGUUGAAAACCUGACAUCAACGUACAAAGAUUCAUAAUCAUAAAAGGUAACUCUUGGUGGCCAUGGGUGCAGUGUCUGCCAUGCAGAGGAGAAGCCGCUGGUUGUAGCAGCAACACUCCAGCUUACCUGGAGCAAAGGUGCAUAAAGGAAAGGCCAUGUGAGGACACAGCAAGAAGGCGGCCCUCUGCAACCUGACCAGCAAGAUCUCACCAGAAACCACCCCUGCUUGCACUGUGAUCUUGGAAUUCUAGCCUCUAGAACUGUGAAACAAUAAACUGUUGUUUAAGCCACUUGGCCUGUGGUAUUUUGUUACA